UCACACAUUGAUUCAUUUAUGCUUCCACAAUGUCCGAAGAGGUCGUGUUCAAUGAAGUCUAUGCUAAAAAAUGCUCGGUUAAUAUAUCACAUUUAAAUCCCCCAACAAUAUCUUCAUUCAGCUUCUUGCCAAAGAAAAAGCUUCAGACUUCUCUAUUAACAGCAAAAAGAGAUAAUAUCAUCUAUUUUUAUCAAACAAAAACAUUGAACAAGGAAGCAUGAAACAGCAAAAAGAGAU
rnacentral:lncRNA from 1 species